rnacentral:tRNA from 1 species
AGUAAAGUAAGCUAAGAAAGCUGUUGGGUUCAUACCUCAAAAAUAGAUAUUGAUUCUCUUUAUUAAUA